CCACUAAUAAUUGCCUGAAGGAAUAUACUGCAUCUUUGUACCAAAGCAAGCCAUCUUUACAAUAAUCACGUUAAAGUUCAACUAUAGUAUCUCCAAUUGAAGCUUUAAAAGCAAUCACUACAAUCGUUUCUCAAAAAUGGUCACAUAUUCAACAUGAAGUUUUAAAAGAAGUGAUAAUGGUCAUAGACCUUCGAAAACAUCGUUUUCCUCAUAACGCCAAAUAAGAGCAGUCUCCAUAGCUUCAUUAUUCAUGUCUUGAAGCUUUGCUUCUGUUGAGUUUUCUCCAAGGGAACGCAUCUCUAUCCCCAUUUCUAUAGUAGUACAACUUAAAACAAGGAUUGGAAAAAGUGAGUCAAAUUAAUGUCGCUCUAUAAACCUUGAAUAGAACAAUUCAAUUUAUAGAACUCAAAGCAAAAAAAACAAGCAAGUCUCUGUACAGAAGCUUUCUACAGCUAGAUCUCCAUAAUGAAAUUAGAACGAAACAUGGAACCAAGAUCCAACUAUAGAAAAAUCAUAUUCAUGAACAAAAACGUUUGAAGGAGUAAGAGGACAAGAUAACAACGUACGGUCACCAUCUUUUUCAAUAAGCUUCCUCAAAAUAAGAGAUUUGAUCGUCGGUGAGAACAAGUCAAUUCAAUUCACAAAACGAUGAUGCCAAAGGAAGACAUAAGAAGGUAAUGUUGGGGAUUGACAAUAUCGAAGGGAGAAAAAGACAGUCAUGCCAGAGGAAGACGAUCUUAGACUAAAGAUGAAAUUGACGAUGUUAGAGGAAGACGGUGACGACAGAGCCACCAGAGAUGAUGGAGCCACCGGAGAUGACGGAGACGACUGAGAUGAUGGAAACACCGGAGAUGGCGGAGACGUCGUUGUAGCUAGAACAAAACCGCUAGAACUCGCCGGAAACAAUAAUGUCGAGUACUGACAGAGAUGAGACGAAUUAUCCGGAUCGAUAAACACAUAAAAUUCACUUAUUUAUAACAGAGGGACAUAAUAGUCUUU
rnacentral:lncRNA from 1 species